UACGAAGGGGGCUAGCGUUGUUCGGAAUUACUGGGCGUAAAGCGCACGUAGGCGGGUCGUUAAGUCAGGGGUGAAAUCCCAGAGCUCAACUCUGGAACUGCCUUUGAUACUGGCGACCUAGAGUCCGGAAGAGGUUAGUGGAAUUCCCAGUGUAGAGGUGAAAUUCGUAGAUAUUGGGAAGAACACCGGUGGCGAAGGCGGGUCUCUGGGCCGAUACUGACGCUGAGGAGCGAAAGCGUGGGGAGCGAACAGG
rnacentral:rRNA from 1 species